UGGGGAAUAUUGGACAAUGGGGGCAACCCUGAUCCAGCAAUACCGCGUGAGUGAAGAAGGCCUUCGGGUUGAAAAGCUCUUUUACCGGGGAAGAUAAUGACGGUACCCGGGGAAUAAGCUCCGGCUAACUUCGUGCCAGCAGCCGCGGUAAUACGAAGGGAGCUAGCGGUGUUCGGAAUUACUGGGCGUAAAGGGCGCGUAGGCGGUUUUGUAAGUCAGAUGUGAAAGCCCCGGGCUUAACCUGGGAAUUGCGUUUGAAACUACAAGGCUAGAGUGCAGCAGAGGGGAGUGGAAUUCCAUGUGUAGCAGUGAAAUGCGUAGAGAUGUGGAAGAACACCGAUGGCGAAGGCAGCUCCCUGGGUUGACACUGACGCUCAUGCACGAAAGCGUGGGGAGCAAACA
rnacentral:rRNA from 1 species